GAUGAACGCUGGCGGCGUGCCUAAUACAUGCAAGUCGAGCGAACGGACGAGAAGCUUGCUUUUCUGAUGUUAGCGGCGGACGGGUGAGUAACACGUGGAUAACCUACCUAUAAGACUGGGAUAACUUCGGGAAACCGGAGCUAAUACCGGAUAAUAUUUUGAACCGCAUGGUUCAAAAGUGAAAGACGGUCUUGCUGUCACUUAUAGAUGGAUCCGCGCUGCAUUAGCUAGUUGGUAAGGUAACGGCUUACCAAGGCAACGAUGCAUAGCCGACCUGAGAGGGGGAACGGCAACACGGGAACGGGGAAACGGCCCAAACCCCAAGGGGAGGCAGCAGAGGGGAAUUUUCCGCAAUGGGGGAAAGCCGAAAGGGGAAACGCCGGGGGGGGGAUGAAGGUUUUGGGAUCGAAAAAACUUGUUAUUAGGAAAAAAAAAAUGGGAAAGUAACUGGCCAAAUCUUGACGGUACCAAAUCAAAAAGCCACGGCUAACUACGU
rnacentral:rRNA from 1 species